GAUGAACGCUGGCGGCGUGCCUAAUACAUGCAAGUCGAGCGAACAGACGAGGAGCUUGCUCCUCUAACGUUAGCGGCGGACGGGUGAGUAACACGUGGAUAACCUACCUAUAAGACUGAGAUAACUUCGGGAAACCGGAGCUAAUACCGGAUAAUAUAUUGAACCGCAUGGUUCAAUAGUGAAAGACGGUUUUGCUGUCACUUAUAGAUGGAUCCGCGCCGCAUUAGCUAGUUGGUAAGGUAACAGCUUACCAAGGCAACGAUGCGUAGCCGACCUGAGAGGGUGAUCGGCCACACUGGAACUGAGACACGGUCCAGACUCCUACGGGAGGCAGCAGUAGGGAAUCUUCCGCAAUGGGCGAAAACCUGACGGAGCAACGCCGCGUGAGUGAUGAAGGUCUUCGGAUCGUAAAACUCUGUUAUUAGGGAAGAACAAAUGUGUAAGUAACUAUGCACGUCUUGACGGUACCUAAUCAGAAAGCCACGGCUAACUACGUGCCAGCAGCCGCGGUAA
rnacentral:rRNA from 1 species